GCUGCGGGACGGGCCCCUCUGGCGCGCUCCCGGCCGGUUUUCCCCCUUGCCGGCCGUGGGUGCGUGAUGUCGGACCGCUUCG
rfam:Brevundimonas sp. Root1279 contig_5, whole genome shotgun sequence.